UUUGCCUCAGAAAAAUAAGAGGGGAGGGGUUCUCUGUUCUCUCUGGCCAAAGCCAGAAUCUGGCCAAGAAGAGUCACCAGACCUUCGCAGGGUCACCGUUGAUCGUCGUCGCCGGCCACCCCGUGCGGUGGCUGGAAUUUCGAAAGGCUAACGGUGGUGGAGCAGAGGCCACUUGCAGGCGUCGCUGGUGGAUGGGGUGGGGAGCAUGUGCUGACGGCUAGGGUUUUAGGUUUUCAUUUAUUUUUCUUUAAUGUAUUGGGCUAGGUUAUUUGGGUUUUGGGUAGGUUUAAGUUGGUUUAGGGGUUUUGGGCCCAAAAUUGGGCUUGUACAAGGCCCAUGGAAAUCAUAGCCACAUGACUUUUAAAGUCUAAAAAUAUCAAAUACAUAUUGACAGUAGAUAGAA